GAUGAAGAACGCGGCGAAAUGCGAUAAGUAGUGUGAAUUGCAGAAUUCAGUGAAUCAUCGAAUCUUUGAACGCACAUUGCGCCCCUUGGUAUUCCAUGGGGCAUGCCUGUUCGAGCGUCAUUUGUACCUUCAAGCUCUGCUUGGUGUUGGGUGUUUGUCUCGCCUCUGCGUGUAGACUCGCCUCAAAACAAUUGGCAGCCGGCGUAUUGAUUUCGGAGCGCAGUACAUCUCGCGCUUUGCACUCAUAACGACGACGUCCAAAAGUACAUUUUUACACUCUUGACCUCGAAUCAGGUAGGGAUACCCGCUGAACUUAAGCAUAUCAAUAAGCGGAGGA
rnacentral:misc_RNA from 1 species